GGGGCUGUGGAUGCCCCGUCCCUGCAGGCAUUCAAGGCCAGGCUGGUUGUGGCUCUGGGCAGCCUGGGCUGCUGGUUGGCGACCUGCACACAGCAGGGGGUUGGAAGGAGAUGAGCGCUGUGCUCCUUUUCAGCCCAGGCUGUUCUGUGUGUGCCGAGGUGAAGCUGUAGUGCUGACUGCAGCUCCCUGCGCUGUGGCUGGAGCGUGUCUGAGCCUGCACGGCUCGGUGCGUUUCACUCUUCCUACAGCAGAAACUCCUUUUGGGAAGUUAUUUUCUUAAAAUUCGGGCUUGCUUUAUGUCAGUCAGCACUGAAUGAAUUUGCACUUGAAUACCUGCUCAAGGCUUUUAGUGCAGGAGCAGUGCAGGGACUCUGGGUGGCUGGGAUCAGGGUGUUUGGAAGUGUUCGUAAAUGGCAACCAGCGCUGGUCAUCAGCACGAAGGAUUGGUGUGAGCGUAGGAGCAGAGGAGGCUUUGCACAGCACGUGUGUAUGGUUGGUUUUUUAAUUGUCUGUGCUCAGUAAAGAGCCAUUUCUUAAAAGACAUUGGAUUCUUUCCAAGCUGGUAUGGGAGCUGUAUUGUGAAAAGGAAGAGGGGAUUUCAAUUGUUGGCUGCUAUACCAAAUUAGAGGGUGAGAGGUUGCCGAGUAAAACUUGGAGCUUCUUCAAUUCCCUGGGAAAGUGAAUUAAUUUGAUUUGAAGUAUCUGGUGGUGCUGGAUUGAACAUCCUUUGUGCAGCACACUUGGCUGCAAAGGGGUUCCUAAUUUGGAAGGUUUAUUUUUGUGUGCACGUUCCAAUGAUUUACAAGCAGUGUUUGUUUACGCUUCCAUUUCUGUUGGGAAAGCUGAGCUCUGUUAGUCUGCUAGGUGUGAUGCUGCAUUUAAUGGUGGAGUGCCACAUACUGAUGGUUUGCAUUAGGCUUAAAAAAAAAAAGAAAAAAGCUCAACAUUUUAUUGUUGCUGCAAGUCCUCAUCUUGUUUGAUGUGGCUUCUGGUGGCAAAAGUCUCCAUAGGGUCCUCCUCAAGGUAGAUCUCUUCUAGAGGUCCCCUCUUGUCUUCAUUCUGAGAACUUGCAGCUGUAGGCUAGUUUCAUCUGCUGACAUAUUUCUGUGCUUUGGUUGAUGAUACAGAGCUCUAAUCUGCGUUCUGUUGAUUGCAGAGAAAAGGCUGAAUAUUGACUUCUGACAAAAUUAAAAUUGCCUUAAAUUGUUGUUUCUAUCCCCCUGGGUUGGCUGUUGGGAUGCUCAGUGUUGAGUGAACCACCUGUAUUGCUCAGAAGUGGGUGUGCUUGACUGCAGGUCUCCAGGCAUGUUUGAGCUGGUGAUGGCCUUGUAAUUGCUUUUGGUCUGACUUCAGGUGCUUCUGCUUUCUAGCAAAGAUGUUAGGAACCUUCGCUCAGGAAACCUCAGAUCUGUGCAUGGAAGCAUGUGUGAACACUUGGGAUGGAGUGCUGGAGCGUUGUUCAGACCCUCAAAGUAAGGCCAGGUGAAACAUUGGGGUGUGAUUCGACAUGAACAAUCAAUCAUCAGGAGCUAUUUGCACACAAUGCAUUUCCCAGUAGCAGUAGCCCCUUGGUACCCCUGCUCCUGAUAUCCAGGCUGUGCUUUUUUAUUUGAUGAACUCCUGCAUUCAGGUUGUUAACAGACUCGUCUGCUUUGCUGAGAUCUUCAGGCACUUUGCAAGAAGAGCUGGGGUUUGAAAAGCUCCAGCUCAGGUACGAGCAGGUCACCAGGUGUUGUCCAAAGCUCUUCAGCUCCUCCCAGCUUAAUGUAGCCAGGUGGGUUUUUUUUGUGCUUGCUGUAUUUAAAAGACUUCUGGUACGAAAUGCAGUCAGCUUUCGUUUGAGCCUCCAAAUAGUUAUGCUUCCAACAUGUAUGGGGUGAGGCUGUGUAGGAAGCAAUUGUAAGGACGUGUGAAGCCGGGCUGCCCUGAAGCUCGCCAGCACUGCCAGGACACCAGGUGCAAUGUGCAUCCUUCACUGCAUCUGCCCUGCACCAACCAACCUUUGAUCAUCUGGCUGUUCCAAAGGCCGCCUGUAUUGAUUGCAUCACGGCUCUCUGUGUGUUUGGUCUCCAGUCCUGGGAACUAAUUUGGGUUUGUGCUGCUCUGGGGGAGGUGAUGGGGAAAGUCACCGAGCUUUCCUUCUCCUCUUCCUCUAUCAGGUGAUCGAGGAGGAAAACAAGAAGUCUCUGUUCCUGAUGUACCUCAGUACUUAGCAAGUGUUUGAAGUUUUAAUCCUCUAGUCUGAUUAAUGCUUGCAGGCGGUGGCCCGCUGAAGGGAUCGCGGUGAGAAGUGUGAUGCACCUGGCUUAAAAGAUCAUUUCAAAGAGGAGGAAGGAUGGAGGUUUGAACUCCAUGGUGUUCUUACUCUGAAGCAACAGAUGGACUCUGCUGUCCUCACAGGCACAAAAGACAGCACAGAAACUGAUCUAACAACUCUUCUCCACAACAGCUCAAACAUUUGAGCAAAAAUACUUCAAAUAUAGUGUUUAACUGCAGAAUACACUGCAGUGGAGUUGUGCUGUGCACCUAGGGACAGGACUUGGAAAAUGGAGUGCAUGGGAGAUGGAGCUGCAGUCAGACAAGGGUAGCAGAAGGAGUUGGGUGCGAUGCAAUGUUCGGCCAGCUGGACUGCUUUACAUGCAUGAACUUGUUCUCAGGCACUUUCUGGAGCUUCAUCCCCCUUUACUGUAGUGCAGACAACUAUAGAUCGGUGACAUGGUUUAUGCUGAGGAAUUAGCAGUUACAGAAUCUCCUGUGCUGUGGCAGCUCGUGCUGACUUUCCUCUGGGAAGAGCUGGGGCAAGCAGAGAGCAGCUUCCGCAGGGGCAUUCGCAAAAUGUUUCACCCCAGACUGAAAGCUCCUGACUGCCUGCUUCUGGGGGUUCAGCUGCUGGGGAUGGAGACAGCACUGGCAAUGAUUCUGUCAGCCAGACUGCUUGCUGCUGCUAGGCAAGGUGCAGUGCUCAGCUGGGAGUGGGGACUGCGAUAACGGCCAGCUUGUUGUGUUUGUAUCUGAAAGCCUGAUAAGGGGAAGUGGCUGCUGGACGGUUGAGAGCCCUGAGGAGGGUGUGCCUUCUCUGCGGCCUUUCUCCUCCUGCUAUCUCUGACAGUGCAUAGCUGCCCAUCACAACAGGUUUCUUGUGGACUUCCUGGAACAUCCCACUUGUGUUUUGGAACUGGCUGUUUUCAGCUGAAACAGUGAAAUGUUUUUCUGUGGCUUCGUAUAAGGAAAAUACAUAAGCUCUGAAUUAGCUGGUGUUUUCUCCCCUCUAAAGCCGUGUAAUUUCAGUUCAAAGCUUUCAGCUUCCCUCCUUUUGGGUAAUUUAACAUCUUAGUUUCUCAGCCUCGUGAUUUAAUGUAGGAGAGAUCAAGACUGAAGAUAAUGGAUAUACAAAUUUUGGCUUUCAGAAGUGGUGUUCAUUGAAAACUAAUCGUUUCCAGACCUUCAAAAUGUCAUGGGACUUUUCCCCCUUAAUUGCCGUGUGUCAUCUCUAUCGAAAACCUUUGAAGCCAAGUGCAGAAGCUCUUUUGGUCAAUCCAGUUCCAAAGAAGAUAUGAAGAAGCAGAAGGAGUGGCCUGAGGAUUGCCUCACCGGGAUGUGUUGCACGUCUGUUUUCAGUCUCUUCCACCUGUACUGUGUAAAGAAGAUCCAUUAUUGAGGAGAAAGAAACGAUCCACCUGUUGCAUUGCUUCUCUUGCAUGCUUGGUUUUUAACACAGAUGCCUUGCUGGGUGCUGUGGUGCUGCCCUGCAUAUUGCAUUUAGGCAGCAGGAGCAAGAGCUGUAAAGUUUGACAAUUCGGUUAUGGAAAGAGUACAGAGCCUCCUACACAGGGCCGUAUGUUCCUGUCAUUGUGCUCUGUAUCAUUUAGCCUUUGUGUCACGUCUUUCUGGGAGAUAACCCCUGAGCUGCUUUGGGCACAGCAGGCAUUCUGCCACAUGUGAGUGCUGAGGCCAUGCAGCUGCCUGGCUUUCAAUGGGGAGCUGCUCGGAGGGAGAGAAGUGGAACCUGGCGUUCACUUCACUGCAGCCAUCUGCAGCCGAAUCCAUUUGUCAAAGUUCUUUCUGCUCAACUUAAUAAAUGUCCUCAAGUUGCUGUCUGUGAUAUAAGUGCUGCGUGCGGUGUGAGAUCUGAAGUUGAAGGCUAAAUUGGUAUUGCACUGGAAGGGUGACCUUUGUAUUUUUCCUGACGGCUCAGGAGAAUCAGUGCUGGAAGAACGUCCGCUUCUAUGGCUGGCAAAGGGCGCCAGGAGCCAUAGGAGCAAAAUCUGCGUGCCUUUUUGAGGACUCGGGGCUGUCUUCAUCUGACUUGGGUUCAUCAAAGGCUUUAAAAUCAAACUUCUAGAUUCCUGUAAGACUUACAGUUGAAACUUGAACUAUCAAGUCUUUGCUUUCUAUUGUAACAGUUACUUUGGAGUGUAAUUCCUGUGUCAACAAGUGCUUCAGAGCAUCAGCCGGGGCCGUUUUCCCAUAGCUCGGAUCCCUAAGCUGCUGGGUUGGAAAUCAAACCCAAAUACGAUUCCCUGCGUCUGCUCUGCUUUGCUCGAGGCCGAUGUGAGCGAGUCUCAGUGCCACGGUUUCUUCCUUGUCGUAAUGAGGAAUCGGAUUCAAUUAAAAGCAAAAAAAAUCAUUUCCAAUUACCCGUA